rnacentral:rRNA from 1 species
CUACGGGGUGCACCAGUGGGGAAUAUUGCGCAAUGGGCGAAAGCCUGACGCAGCCAUGCCGCGUGAGUGAAGAAGGCCUUAGGGUUGUAAAGCUCUUUCAGAUGCGAUGAUGAUGACAGUAGCAUCAAAAGAAGCCCCGGCUAACUCCGUGCCAGCAGCCGCGGUAAUACGAAGGGGGCUAGCGUUGUUCGGAUUUACUGGGCGUAAAGAGCAUGUAGGCGGGUCGAUCAGUCAGGGGUGAAAGCCCGGAGCUCAACUCCGGAACUGCCUUUGAUACUAUCGAUCUUGAGUCCGAGAGGGGGUGGUGGAAUAUCCAGUGUAGAGGUGAAAUUCGUAGAUAUUGGAUGGAACACCAGUGGCGAAGGCGGCCACCUGGCUCGGUACUGACGCUGAGAUGCGAAAGCGUGGGGAGCAAACAGGAUUAGAUACCCCCGUAGUC